rnacentral:rRNA from 1 species
GAUGAACGCUGGCGGCGUGCCUAAUACAUGCAAGUCGAGCGAACAGACGAGGAGCUUGCUCCUUUGACGUUAGCGGCGGACGGGUGAGUAACACGUAGGUAACCUACCUAUAAGACUGGGAUAACUUCGGGAAACCGGAGCUAAUACCGGAUAAUAUUUCGAACCGCAUGGUUCGAUAGUGAAAGAUGGCUUUGCUAUCACUUAUAGAUGGACCUGCGCCGUAUUAGCUAGUUGGUAAGGUAACGGCUUACCAAGGCAACGAUCCGUACCCGACCUGAGAUGGUCAUCCGCCCCCCUGGCCCUGAGCCACCUCCCCCACCCCGACGGGAGGCUGCAGUCGGGACUCUGCCGCAAUGGGCGAACGCCUGACGUAGCCAUGCCGGUUCAGUGACGACGCUCUUCGGCUGGUUAACCUGUGUUAUUAGGGGAGAACAAACGUGUAAGUAACUGUGCACGUCUGGACGGUCCCUACUCAGUAGUCCACCGCUAACCACGUG